rnacentral:misc_RNA from 1 species
UCCGGUUUGUCACCGGCGGUCUCCUUAGAGUUCCCGACUUUACUCGCUGGCAACUAAGGACAAGGGUUGCGCUCGUUGCGGGACUUAACCCAACAUCUCACGACACGAGCUGACGACAGCCAUGCAGCACCUGUGUUCUGGUUCCCGAAGGCACUCCCUGAUCUCUCAAGGAUUCCAGACAUGUCAAGGCCAGGUAAGGUUCUUCGCGUUGCAUCGAAUUAAACCACAUACUCCACCGCUUGUGCGGGCCCCCGUCAAUUCCUUUGAGUUUCAGUCUUGCGACCGUACUCCCCAGGCGGCGAACUUAACGCGUUAGCUUCGAUACUGAAGGGCAAGUUCCCCCCAACAUCCAGUUCGCAUCGUUUAGGGCGUGGACUAC